rnacentral:miRNA from 1 species
UCAUUUUGUAUAAUUGCGA